rnacentral:rRNA from 1 species
UAAUACGAAGGGGGCUAGCGUUGCUCGGAAUCACUGGGCGUAAAGGGCGCGUAGGCGGCCGAUCAAGUCAGAGGUGAAAGCCCAAGGCUCAACCUUGGAAUUGCCUUUGAUACUGUUCGGCUCGAGACCGGAAGAGGUUAGUGGAACUGCGAGUGUAGAGGUGAAAUUCGUAGAUAUUCGCAAGAACACCAGUGGCGAAGGCGGCUAACUGGUCCGGUUCUGACGCUGAGGCGCGAAAGCGUGGGGAGCAAACAGGAUUAGAUACCCUGGUAGUCCACGCCGUAAACGAUGGAUGCUAGCCGUUGGCAGGCUUGCCUGUCAGUGGCGCAGCUAACGCUUUAAGCAUCCCGCCUGGGGAGUACGGUCGCAAGAUUA